rnacentral:rRNA from 1 species
GUCGGGGGUGAAAGCCGGGGGCUCAACCACGGAAUGGCAUUCGAUAUUGUUAUGCUUGAGACCGGAAGGGGACAGCGGAAUUGCGAGUGUAGAGGUGAAAUCCGUAGAUAUUCGCAAGAACACCAUUGGCGAAGGCGGCUGUCUGGUCCGGUUCUGACGCUGAGGCGCGAAAGCGUGGG